CUCACUUAGUUAGACUCUUUACUUUGGUUUAUGGUUAAUAUCAAAAUCCAAAAAAGAAUUGUGUCGUACAUAGAUUAGACUAUGUUUGAAUGUUUACUUAAUUGGUACAAAGUAUCAUAUUCUGGCUAUGGAUUAUGGAAACGUCCUCGUUCAAAUCAAGUGUGCGUUACACGGAACGUAGACGGAAGAAACGAGGUUUUCAAAAAC
rnacentral:lncRNA from 1 species